rnacentral:lncRNA from 1 species
AAGGAAUUACAUUUGCUGCCUUACCAUCGGCAGGUUUUGAAGAUGGCUUUGGAGUUCAAAAAAAUCUCAUUUCUACAUGUUCCUCGUAAUAGGAAUGACUUUGCGGACGCAUUAAAAACUUUGGCCUCCCUGAUUCGCAUAUUAGACAAAGAACAUUUGCCGAGCGUCACAAUUUCCCUGCACAAGGCCCAAGCCUAUGGGAAUUACGUUG